GGACCGUCCUUGCUGUAAAGCCUCCAGUGUGUCAAGUUACUUUAAAGCAGAUGACUGAGCAGAGCAAGAAUUUGGAGAAUGAAAACAGAGAACUUGCAGAAAAUAUAUCUGCUUGGGUGCAGAAGACCAACAACGCAAAGAAAUGCUUAGAGGAGGCCAUCAGGCAAAAGAAGCUGCCCUCUGAGAAAGCACUGAAGUUUAAGGUACGAACCUCUUGUUAGAUUACAUUCUGAAAAUAGAAAUGAAAGUAA